rnacentral:rRNA from 1 species
UACGGGGGGAGCAAGCGUUGUUCGGAUUUACUGGGCGUAAAGGGCGCGUAGGCGGACACCGCAAGUCGACUGUGAAAUCUCCGGGCUUAACCCGGAAAGGUCAGCCGAUACUGCGGGGCUAGAGUGCAGAAGGGGCAACUGGAAUUCUCGGUGUAGCGGUGAAAUGCGUAGAUAUCGAGAGGAACACCUGCGGCGAAGGCGGGUUGCUGGGCUGACACUGACGCUGAUGCGCGAAAGCUAGGGGAGCGAACGGG